UACGUAGGGUGCAAGCGUUGUCCGGAAUUAUUGGGCGUAAAGAGCUCGUAGGCGGUCCGGUAAGUCCGCUGUGAAAGUCGGGGGCUCAACCCUCGAAUGCCGGUGGAUACUGUCGGGCUAGAGUGCGGAAGAGGCGAGUGGAAUUCCUGGUGUAGCGGUGAAAUGCGCAGAUAUCAGGAAGAACACCCGUGGCGAAAGCGGCUCUCUGGAACGGUACUGACGCUGAGACGCGAAAGCGUGGGGAGCGAACAGG
rnacentral:rRNA from 1 species